rnacentral:misc_RNA from 1 species
AACGCACAUUGCGCCCAUUGGUAUUCCGAUGGGCACGUCUGUUUGAGCGUCAUUACAAUCCUUCGGUCUGGAUUUUUACCAAUCCCGACCGGUUGUGAGCUCCGGCCCUCACCGGCCGGGCUUUAAAGUGGCACGCUCUGCGGGUGACCCAACCUGAACGAACAUAGUAGAAUCCAUUCAACCUGUUCGACUAAGGGAUGGUCAGCUCCGCCUGAACAAGAACCUAAAUUUUCUAAGGUUUGACCUCAGAUCAGACGAGGAUACCCGCUGAACUUAA